CCGGUCAGCCUUCCUCCCAGAGGCAGGUCUGGGCUGACUGAAGCACCAUCCGGUCGACCGGGUGCGUCCGGGGCUCCACACAGGUGGAGGCGGCGGCAGCGCGGGACAGUCGCGAACGACCUCUGCCCCUCCCCUCCAGAACCGAAAUCCGGGACGGCCGGCGCCCGCGGGGCCUAAGAAGUGCCUGACGCCUGGCGGUCGCUCCCCAGUUUCCCGGGAGGAUCGGAGGGAGGCCACGGGCCUCACCUGAAUAGGCUUCUGGGAGACCCAGCCCACCCAUUCUCCACGUCCAAACACAUCUGACCCAUGUGGGGAUCACCGAGUGGGGAUCCCUGAUCCACCUAACAAGAGAGGCCAUUAGGAAUGCAGCAGUGACAGCCGCCUUCUCGUCCGCAGCCCGAGGCAGAAGAUCCAGGCUCAAGCACUGGGGAAAGGAUGGCUCUACUCCGAAGAGAACAAUAAAUUGACAUCAGAUCAUUUUCCAA